GUUGCAAUGUUGCUCUUCGUAAAAAAGAAAUCACUAUUAUUAACUUGUUUUGUGUUUGUAACAUUGUCUUGUAAGAAAUAAAGUGCACUAAUGUAACCUUAUACUUUUUAAUAAUACCUUAUAACAAGGUACAUUACCAAUCAGAUUUUCUGGCACAUGCACACCAAGGAAUAUUUUCAGCAAGCUUCUGAUGGAUGAAGAGAGUGACUCUUUUUUUAGGCUCAAUCACUACCCUCCAUGACCUGAACUUAAAGCAUUGAGUUGCAACUUAACUGGUUUUGGAGAACACACUGACCCUCAGAUAAUAUCAGUUCUGAGAUCAAACAAUACAUCAGGCCUUCAAAUCUCUCUCAGUGAUGGGAGCUGGGUUUCAGUCCCACCUGACCACAACUCCUUUGUCAUUGUUGGUUAUUCCUCGCAGGUAUGGGCAAACAAAGCCAGUUUAUGCAUAUCGUUUGAUGGCACAUGGAACUAUGGAAGAAAAACUAUAUAAACGGCAGUUGGAAUGCUGAAGUUUAAAGAAUUAGUAGAGGCUUCUAUUGUGGUUCUCAGAUGUCGAAGAGCAUCAAAGCAUGCCUGCCCACUUUCAGUCCCAACUGAUUUGCUACUGGUCUACUUGUUGAGGAGACAUUGUCUGGUGCACCAGUCCAUACAGAUAAGGAGCCUCCUCAUUGUUGAAACAAAGGUAAUUAAACACCUGGGUUGGAGUUGAGUAAAUAUAGACAACACAG